rnacentral:rRNA from 1 species
UACGAAGGGGGCUAGCGUUGCUCGGAAUCACUGGGCGUAAAGCGCACGUAGGCGGACCCUUAAGUCAGGGGUGAAAUCCUGGAGCUCAACUCCAGAACUGCCUUUGAUACUGGGAGUCUUGAGUCCGGAAGAGGUGAGUGGAACUGCGAGUGUAGAGGUGAAAUUCGUAGAUAUUCGCAAGAACACCAGUGGCGAAGGCGGCUCACUGGCCCGAUACUGACGCUGAGGUGCGAAAGCGUGGGGAGCAAACAGG